UACGUAGGGGGCUAGCGUUGUCCGGAAUCAUUGGGCGUAAAGCGCGUGUAGGCGGUUCGGUAAGUCCGCUGUGAAAGUCGGGGGCUCAACCCUCGAAUGCCGGUGGAUACUGUCGGACUAGAGUACGGAAGAGGCGAGUGGAAUUCCUGGUGUAGCGGUGAAAUGCACAGAUAUCAGGAGGAACACCAAUUGCGAAGGCAGCUCGCUGGGACGUUACUGACGCUGAGACGCGAAAGCGUGGGGAGCAAACAGG
rnacentral:rRNA from 1 species